rnacentral:rRNA from 1 species
CCUACGGGAGGCAGCAGUGGGGAAUCUUGGACAAUGGGCGCAAGCCUGAUCCAGCCAUGCCGCGUGAGUGAUGACGGCCUUAGGGUUGUAAAGCUCUUUCGCCUGUGACGAUGAUGACGGUAACAGGAGAAGAAGCCCCGGCUAACUUCGUGCCAGCAGCCGCGGUAAUACGAAGGGGGCUAGCGUUGUUCGGAAUUACUGGGCGUAAAGCGCACGUAGGCGGCUCAGCAAGUUGGGGGUGAAAUCCCGAGGCUCAACCUCGGAAUUGCCUUCAAAACUGCUGGGCUCGAGUUCGGAAGAGGUGAGUGGAAUUCCCAGUGUAGAGGUGAAAUUCGUAGAGAUUGGGAAGAACACCAGUGGCGAAGGCGGCUCACUGGUCCGCAACUGACGCUGAGGUGCGAAAGCGUGGGGAGCAAACAGGAUUAGAUACCCUAGUAGUC